AGAGUUUGAUCAUGGCUCAGGAUGAACGCUAGCGGCAGGCCUAACACAUGCAAGUCGAGGGGCAGCGGGUCCAGCUUGCUGGAUGCCGGCGACCGGCGCACGGGUGCGCAACGCGUAUGGAACCUGCCCGUUACGGGGGAACAGCCCGGGGAAACCCGGAUUAAUGCCCCAUGUUGGCCCUGCGCGGCAUCGCGCGGGGCCCAAAGGCCCUCGGGCCGGUAACGGAUGGCCAUGCGUACCAUUAGCUUGUUGGCGGGGUAACGGCCCACCAAGGCCACGAUGGUUAGGGGCCCUGAGAGGGGGGCCCCCCACACUGGUACUGAGACACGGACCAGACUCCUACGGGAGGCAGCAGUGAGGAAUAUUGGACAAUGGGCGGGAGCCUGAUCCAGCCAUGCCGCGUGCGGGAAGAAGGCCCUACGGGUCGUAAACCGCUUUUGUACGGGAAGAACGAGGGGCACGCGUGCCCCGUUGACGGUACCGUAAGAAUAAGGACCGGCUAACUCCGUGCCAGCAGCCGCGGUAAUACGGAGGGUCCGAGCGUUAUCCGGAAUCAUUGGGUUUAAAGGGUCCGCAGGCGGGCCGUUAAGUCAGGGGUGAAAGCCCGCGGCUCAACCGCGGGACUGCCCUUGAUACUGGCGGCCUUGAAUCACGGCGGGGCGGGCGGAACAUGUAGUGUAGCGGUGAAAUGCAUAGAUAUUACAUAGAACACCGAUCGCGAAGGCAGCUCGCCAGCCGUGUAUUGACGCUGAGGGACGAAAGCGCGGGGAGCGAACGGGAUUAGAUACCCCGGUAGUCCGCGCCGUAAACGAUGGAUACUAGCUGUCCUGCGCCCUGAGCGCGGGGCGGCCCAGCGAAAGUGAUAAGUAUCCCACCUGGGGAGUACGUUCGCAAGAAUGA
rnacentral:rRNA from 1 species